rnacentral:rRNA from 1 species
GUAAUAGCUCACUGGUCGAGUCGGCCUGCGCGGAAGAUGUAACGGGGCUAAACCAUGCACCGAAGCUGCGGCAGCGAACGUAUCACCCAAGACAACUUUACGGAGUUGACGAUUGACGGAGCGAAGCGACGUCAAAGCGUUCAUUAAAGUCGAGUUGGCUUAGGGAUACGUUCGUUGGGUAGGGGAGCGUUCUGUAAGCCUGUGAAGGUGUGUCGUGAGGCAUGCUGGAGGUAUCAGAAGUGCGAAUGCUGACAUAAGUAACGAUAAAGCGGGUGAAAAGCCCGCUCGCCGGAAGACCAAGGGUUCCUGUCCAACGUUAAUCGGGGCAGGGUGAGUCGACCCCUAAGGCGAGGCCGAAAGGCGUAGUCGAUGGGAAACGGGUUAAUAUUCCCGUACUUGGUGUUACUGCGAAGGGGGGACGGAGAAGGCUAUGUUGGCCGGGCGACGGUUGUCCC